GAAAGGCAAGUGCCACCAUGCCCAGCUCUAUGCUGAAUUCUUACAGAAUAAAAACCAUAAAAGCCGGGCCACAAGCUACUGAUACCAGUGGUUCAGGGGAAAUGCUUCAGUCUGUCUCUGGAGAAGACUGUUCUGAAAAUCUCGGCCUUGUGGCUUAGAAUCCUCUGCCUGUCUUUCUCCUGCUAAUUUCUGAAGAUGGACUAUUAAAAUUCUACACUUCUGUCCCCAUCCUGUAAAUAAAACCCAACAAAAACUCGUUCUUAAUGUGGACGGAUUCAGAACAGCCAUGUUUCUGUAGUGCCCUUAACUCAUCUUAAACCCGUGCUUUUAUAUUUGAGAAGCCAGAAAUCGUGCCAAAGAUAACAGAAAGGUAAACGAGUGUUGACCAUGGCCACCUGAAGGCUACAGCCUGACCCUCACAGUGACCAGUGACUCCGAACUUUGAAGUACAAAUAUCCCUAUUCUUUAUAGGAAGCAAAUCUAAAUCUAAAUGAGGUUGGAUGAAUACUUUAUGUAGGAAUGGCUGGUUCUGUCCCCUUAUCAGGUGGUUCUUGUCUGUGGCACUGAAUUAAUUGGCAGAGCUGUCCACGAGUUCACUGGGGUCAUCCUUGUAACCAGCUGCUUAACACACUGUGCUGUUAUCUCAAGAGGACGCGUUCCAUUUUUCUCAAUAAACAUCUCCCACACUUUCUCCCUUA
rnacentral:lncRNA from 1 species